AAGAUUAUACUUUCAGAAUUCAUUUAUAUAGUUCUUUAAUUGAGAAAGGUAUUUCUAAUGUGGUAGGUCUCGCUAGCCACGAUGACGAGUCACGAUAUUCCCGUUCAGAGCAUGAAUCUGGUGGCUAGAAGUGACUUUGCUAAAUUUUCUUCCACCUUUGAUGACUGUUCCUUGUUCUUCAAUGAACAUGGAAGAAGGGAAUAUGUUCUGAGUGGA
rnacentral:snoRNA from 1 species